rnacentral:lncRNA from 1 species
GGAAAACUGAUAGAACUUCCCCUGAUAAUUAUACUUAUAAAAACAUGUAACCUGCUAUAAUUCCAAAUGAUAAAACAUAUAAGAGAAAAACUGAUAGUUGGACCUGUCAAUUCAUAAAAUAUUUACAACAAUAAAAUACCGUUUCCACUGGACUGUCCAAUCUAUACAUGAUCUAUCAAGAUUACAAAAAGAAAAGACAAAAGACUUAGGAUUGGUCCGACCUCCUCUAGACUCUGAGUAGACGAUGUAGAAAGAAGGAUAAACUAGAAGAUGAGGACUGCUGAGCAGAUCACCAAAAAGGAAUUGAAAUAGUAAAAGAAAUAUAAGGGUGAGUACAAACUACUCAGUGAGCGGAUAAAUAAAUAACACAGGGGAAAAGAUAAGUGUAGGUACUUCAUAGUACCUAAUAUGUAGCUAAAAUAAAUCAGCUGAAUAAAUACAAUUUAAUUCCAUCAAUAUAAAAUAAACAGUGAAAAAUAGAAUCCGCAUACACUCAUAAUAUGUUCCCUGCAGAUAAUGCUGGCAUCUCAGGUAUAAUAAAAUAAUAACAGCCUGAGAGCAAUGCUGGCAUCUUAGGCUCUAUAAUGAAAAAUUUGGCCCAAGAGCAAAUAAAAUACUGGUCAUACACAUGUACAGAGCUACCCCCAAAGGGUGACCACCUGUAGAGACUGAUAUGACCCGGAAAACUGAUAGAACUUCCCCUGAUAAUUAUACUUAUAAAAACAUGUAACCUGCUAUAAUUCCAAAUGAUAAAACAUAUAAGAGAAAAACUGAUAGUUGGACCUGUCAAUUCAUAAAAUAUUUACAACAAUAAAAUACCGUUUCCACUGGACUGUCCAAUCUAUACAUGAUCUAUCAAGAUUACAAAAAGAAAAGACAAAAGACUUAGGAUUGGUCCGACCUCCUCUAGACUCUGAGUAGACGAUGUAGAAAGAAGGAUAAACUAGAAGAUGAGGACUGCUGAGCAGAUCACCAAAAAGGAAUUGAAAUAGUAAAAGAAAUAUAAGGGUGAGUACAAACUACUCAGUGAGCGGAUAAAUAAAUAACACAGGGGAAAAGAUAAGUGUAGGUACUU